rnacentral:rRNA from 1 species
GACGAACGCUGGCGGCGUGCCUAAUACAUGCAAGUCGAGCGAAGUUUUUCUGGUGCUUGCACUAGAAAAACUUAGCGGCGAACGGGUGAGUAACACGUAAAGAACCUGCCUCAUAGACUGGGACGACUAUUGGAAACGAUAGCUAAUACCGGAUAACAGUAUUUCUCGCAUGAGAGAUAUUUAAAAGUUGGUUAUGCUAACACUAUGAGAUGGCUUUGCGGUGCAUUAGCUAGUUGGUGGGGUAAAGGCCCACCAAGGCGACGAUGCAUAGCCGACCUGAGAGGGUGAUCGGCCACACUGGGACUGAGACACGGCCCAGACUCCUACGGGAGGCAGCAGUAGGGAAUCUUCCGCAAUGGGCGAAAGCCUGACGGAGCAACGCCGCGUGAGUGAAGAAGGAUUUCGGUUCGUAAAGCUCUGUUGUUAGGGAAGAAUGGAUAUGUAGUAACUAUACAUGUAAGAGACGGUACCUAACCAGAAAGCCACGGCUAACUACGUG